rnacentral:misc_RNA from 1 species
GAUGAAGAACGCAGCGAAAUGCGAUAAGUAGUGUGAAUUGCAGAAUUCAGUGAAUCAUCGAAUCUUUGAACGCACAUUGCGCCCCUUGGUAUUCCAUGGGGCAUGCCUGUUCGAGCGUCAUUUGUACCUUCAAGCUUUGCUUGGUGUUGGGUGUUUGUCUCGCCUUUGCGUGUAGACUCGCCUUAAAAUAAUUGGCAGCCGGCGUAUUGAUUUCGGAGCGCAGUACAUCUCGCGCUUUGCACUCGUAACGACAGCGUCCAAAAGUACAUUUUACACUCUUGACCUCGGAUCAGGUAGGGAUACCCGCUGAACUUAAGCAUAUCAAUAAGCGGAGGA